rnacentral:rRNA from 1 species
GCAGUCGAACGCACUCUCGUUAGAUUGAAGAAGCUUGCUUCUGAUUGAUAACAUUUGAGUGAGUGGCGGACGGGUGAGUAACACGUGGGUAACCUGCCCUAAAGUGGGGGAUAACAUUUGGAAACAGAUGCUAAUACCGCAUAAAACCUAGCACCGCAUGGUGCAAGGUUGAAAGAUGGUUUCGGCUAUCACUUUAGGAUGGACCCGCGGUGCAUUAGUUAGUUGGUGAGGUAAAGGCUCACCAAGACCGUGAUGCAUAGCCGACCUGAGAGGGUAAUCGGCCACACUGGGACUGAGACACGGCCCAGACUCCUACGGGAGGCAGCAGUAGGGAAUCUUCCACAAUGGACGAAAGUCUGAUGGAGCAACGCCGCGUGAGUGAAGAAGGUUUUCGGAUCGUAAAACUCUGUUGUUGGAGAAGAACGUAUUUGAUAGUAACUGAUCAGGUAGUGACGGUAUCCAACCAGAAAGCCACGGCUAACUACGUGCCAGCAGCCGCGGUAAUACGUAGGUGGCAAGCGUUGUCCGGAUUUAUUGGGCGUAAAGCGAGCGCAGGCGGUUUCUUAAGUCUGAUGUGAAAGCCUUCGGCUCAACCGAAGAAGUGCAUCGGAAACUGGGAAACUUGAGUGCAGAAGAGGACAGUGGAACUCCAUGUGU